rnacentral:rRNA from 1 species
AACGAACGCUGGCGGCAUGCCUAACACAUGCAAGUCGAACGAAGCCUUCGGGCUUAGUGGCGCACGGGUGCGUAACGCGUGGGAAUCUGCCCCUUGCUUCGGAAUAACAGUUAGAAAUGACUGCUAAUACCGGAUGAAGUCUUCGGACCAAAGAUUUAUCGGCACGGGAUGAGCCCGCGUAGGUUUAGGUAGUUGGUGGGGUAAAGGCCCACCAAGCCGACGAUCCUUAGCUGGUCUGAGAGGAUGAUCAGCCACACUGGGACUGCGACACGGCCCAGACUCCUACGGGAGGCAGCAGUGGGGAAUAUUGGACGAUGGAGGCAAGUCUGAUCCAGCCAUGCCGCGUGAGUGAUGAAGGCCGUAGGGUUGUAAAGCUCUUUUACCAGGGAUGAUAAUGACGGUACCUGGAGAAUAAGCACCGGCUAACUACGUG